AUUCAAAUGUAAGAUCCAUUAAAACAAGGAUUGAAAU
rfam:Methanolobus tindarius DSM 2278 MettiDRAFT_Contig28.1_C, whole genome shotgun sequence.